rnacentral:rRNA from 1 species
GACGAACGCUGGCGGCGUGCUUAACACAUGCAAGUCGAGCGGUAAGGCCCUUCGGGGUACACGAGCGGCGAACGGGUGAGUAACACGUGGGUGACCUGCCUUUAGCUCUGGGAUAAGCCUGGGAAACUGGGUCUAAUACCGGAUAUGACCUCAUGACGCAUGUUGUGGGGUGGAAAGCCUUGUGCGGCUAGAGAUGGGCCCGCGGCCUAUCAGCUUGUUGGUGGGGUGANGGCCUACCAAGGCGACGACGGGUAGCCGGCCUGAGAGGGCGACCGGCCACACUGGGACUGAGACACGGCCCAGACUCCUACGGGAGGCAGCAGUGGGGAAUCUUGCGCAAUGGGCGAAAGCCUGACGCAGCGACGCCGCGUGAGGGAUGACGGCCUCGGUUGUAACCGU